rnacentral:rRNA from 1 species
UACGGAGGGAGCUAGCGUUGUUCGGAAUUACUGGGCGUAAAGCGCACGUAGGCGGCUUUGUAAGUUAGAGGUGAAAGCCCGGGGCUCAACUCCGGAACUGCCCUUAAGACUGCAUCGCUUGAAUCCAGGAGAGGUGAGUGGAAUUCCGAGUGUAGAGGUGAAAUUCGUAGAUAUUCGGAAGAACACCAGUGGCGAAGGCGGCUCACUGGCCCGAUACUGACGCUGAGGCACGAAAGCGUGGGGAGCAAACAGG